rnacentral:rRNA from 1 species
GGCCAAGCCUUGCAGGUUGGUGUAAAGUUAAUAAGUUUCUCUGUAGACUCUUUAAUAUUUGAAGAUUAGUUAGUUUGGAAGCGAAAGCGAAGGGGACAAGUAGGCUCUGGGAGAAAGAGGGCUUAAGGCCGUACCUUUUGUAUCAGGGUUAGAGGAUAAAAGAUAAUUAGAUUAUUAAACUCCCGAAGUGAAAGGAUUUUGUAGGGCUGGGCCUCUACUGUUGAAUUAGUGGGGAAAAAGCCCUACACGAUGCGAAAAGUAAUUCGUCUUUCAUGGUAUCUGGUUCCAACUCCCUGGGUUUACCCUUUGGGAUUAGCUUGAGGGCCUCAGGGUUUAAUUAUAAACGAGAAAGAAAUAGAGUCUUAAGUUUGGAUUUAUGGUCUUCAGUAACCCGAAGCUUGUGGAGAGCUAAAUAACUACUGUUCCUGGCUCCUAAAAUCUCUAGAUUAGUAUAAUUUAAUAAYCCAAAUUCAAGGAAUUCGGCAAUUAAGGGUUCAGACUGUUUAGUAAAAACAUUUCCUGCCCCAAAAAUGGCAGGUAAGGCCUGCUCCCUGUCUCUUUGAUAAAGAGCCGCAGUAGCUUGACUGUGCUAAGGUAGCAUAAUAAUUUGCCUCUUAAUUGGAGGCUGGAAUGAAGGGUCUAACGUGAGCCCAACUGUCUCGAUUAGGAAAUAGUUGAAGUUUAGUUCUGGGUGAAAACUCCCAGAUAGGAUAGAGGGACGAGAAGACCCUGUAGAGCUUUAAUCUGGCUAAACCAGUCAAGGUUUGAAGGAUUUUACCUGGGAGGGGGAGGCUGAUUAAGACCAGUCUAUAACUUUAAGACUAAUCGUCAAAAUUAUCCAUGAUCCCGUAUUUUCGAUCAGUUGAAAAAGUUACCUCAGGGAUAACAGCAUAAUAUCUCUCCUUUAGUUCUUAUGGAGUGAGGGAGGUUAUGACCUCGAUGUUGAAUUAAGUUCUCUUCGCUAUGUAAAAGGAGUGAAUUGUUAGUCUGUUCGACUAUUUAAAACUUACAUGAUUUGAGUUUAGACCGACGUGAGUCAGGUCAGAUUCUAUCUUCUAUCAAAUUAUCCUUUUUUAGUACGAAAGGACCAGAAGGGAUUAUUGAACAUUAUAUAAAUUAAAAUAA